rnacentral:rRNA from 1 species
UCCAGACUCCUACGGGAGGCAGCAGUGAGGAAUAUUGGUCAAUGGGCGGGAGCCUGAACCAGCCAAGCCGCGUGAGGGAAGAAGGUACAGCGUAUCGUAAACCUCUUUUGUCAGGGAACAAAGGCGGGGACUAGUCCCCGGAUGAGGGUACCUGAAGAAAAAGCAUCGGCUAACUCCGUGCCAGCAGCCGCGGUAAUACGGAGGAUGCGAGCGUUAUCCGGAUUUAUUGGGCGUAAAGGGCUCGUAGGCGGUUCGUCGCGUCCGGUGUGAAAGUCCAUCGCUUAACGGUGGAUCCGCGCCGGGUACGGGCGGGCUUGAGUGCGGUAGGGGAGACUGGAAUUCCCGGUGUAACGGUGGAAUGUGUAGAUAUCGGGAAGAACACCAAUGGCGAAGGCAGGUCUCUGGGCCGUUACUGACGCUGAGGAGCGAAAGCGUGGGGAGCGAACAGGAUUAGAUACCCGUGUA